rnacentral:rRNA from 1 species
UACAGAGGUCUCAAGCGUUGUUCGGAUUCAUUGGGCGUAAAGGGUGCGUAGGCGGCGCGGUAAGUCGGGUGUGAAAUCUUGGAGCUUAACUCCGAAACUGCAUUCGAUACUGCCGUGCUUGAGGACUGGAGAGGAGACUGGAAUUUACGGUGUAGCGGUGAAAUGCGUAGAUAUCGAGAGGAACACCAGCGGCGAAGGCGGCCUGCUGGGCAGUUGCUGACACUGAGGCGCGACAGCGUGGGGAGCAAACAGG